GGUCCUGUGUGGCUCAGUUGGUAGAGAGAGCAUGGCACUUGGAACGCCACGGCUGUGGGUUCGAUUCCCACUGGGGACCA